rnacentral:rRNA from 1 species
AUCAAUAAGCGGAGGAAGAGAAACUAACAAGGAUUCCCCCAGUAACGGCGAGCGAAGCGGGAAGAGUUCGAGCCUGUAAUCCCCGGCAGUCUUGUCGGUGAAUUGUGGCCGGAAGAGGUAGCUUGUGUUGCGUCCGGCGUUGCCGAAGUUGACCUGGAAGGGCACGUCGGAGAGGGUGACAACCCCGUGCGCGGCCUCGGCGGGCGUAGCCGCUGCUGCCUUCGGAGAGUCGGGUUGUUUGGGAAUGCAGCCCAAAGUGGGUGGUAAACUCCAUCUAAAGCUAAAUAAUGGCACGAGACCGAUAGCGAACAAGUACCGUGAGGGAAAGGUGAAAAGUACUUUGAAAAGAGAGUCAAAGAGACCGCGAAACCGUUAGGAGGGAAACGAAUGCAGCCCGAUGGGCUUCGGUCGGGUUCAGGGGCGGCGGUGCCGUCGUAGCGGUCGGGCGGACCCGUGAGGGUCGUCCUUCCGUUGUCGAAGGUCCGUCGCCCUGCACUCCCGGUCGAUAGCCGGCCAACGUCGGUCCGGUUCGGCUCACGCGGAUGGUCGGGCAGGUGCCUCAAUGCGCCGCUUCGGCGUGCGCAAGGAGAACUUAGAGCCGAUUGUUCGGCAGUCGAACGUUGCGGACCGAGGAGAUGUGUGACGCUUCACACCGGCAGUGCAGGCUCGCCGUUCCGGCGGCGGGCCGGGUCUCUUCUGAUCGUUGGGUAGGCGCUUCUGGGACUGCCCGUCAGUGCCAGUCGACGUCGCGUCCUYUCGGUCGGGGGAUUGGUCACGCCUUGCGCUGCAGUCGCUGGCUGAAGGAAGGCUGCAUCCGACCCGUCUUGAAACACGGACCAAGGAGUGCAACACGCGUGCGAGUCUGUGGGUGUGUCAGACCCGUCGGCGCAAUGAGAGUAAAGGCGGACGCCUGGUCCGCCGAGGCAGGAGCCGUCCCAAACGGUCGGCCCACUGUUGACCGAUCCCUUGCCACGCUGUGGUGGGAUUCGAGUGAGAGCGUGCCUGUUGCGACCCGAAAGAUGGUGAACUAUGCCUGAAUAGGGCGAAGCCAGAGGAAACUCUGGUGGAAGCUCGCAGCGGUUCUGACGUGCAAAUCGAUCGUCAAAUUUGGGUAUAGGGGCGAAAGACUAAUCGAACCAUCUAGUAGCUGGUUCCCUCCGAAGUUUCCCUCAGGAUAGCUGGAGCCCGGAGCAGUUUUAUCAGGUAAAGCGAAUGAUUAGAGGUCUUGGGGUUGAAACAACCUCAACCUAUUCUCAAACUUUAAAUGGGUAAGAAGUCCGGCUUGCUCGGUUGAAGUCGGACGGUGGAAUGCCGGGGCUCCCAGUGGGCCAUUUUUGGUAAGCAGAACUGGCGAUGCGGGAUGAACCGAACGCCGGGUUAAGGUGCCCGAAUCGACGCUCAUCAGAUCCCAUGAAAGGUGUUGGUUGAUCUAGACAGCAGGACGGUGGCCAUGGAAGUCGGAAUCCGCUAAGGAGUG